AUAGAUACCCUGGUAGUCCACGCCCUAAACGAUGCGAACUGGAUGUUGGGUACAUUACGGUACUCAGUGUCGAAGCUAACGCGUUAAGUUCGCCGCCUGGGGAGUACGGUCACAAGACUGAAACUCAAAGGAAUUGACGGGGGCCCGCACAAGCGGUGGAGUAUGUGGUUCAAUUCGAUGCAACGCGAAGAACCUUGCCUGGCCUUGACAUCUGUUGAACCCUGCAGAGAUGCGGGAGUGCCGCAAGGAACAACAAGACAGGUGCUGCAUGGCUGUCGUCAGCUCGUGUCGUGAGAUGUUGGGUUAAGUCCCGCAACGAGCGCAACCCUUGUCCCUAGUUGCCAACGAGUAAGGUCGGGAACUCUAGGGAGACUGCCGGUGACAAACCGGAGGAAGGUGGGGAUGACGUCAAGUCCUCAUGGCCCUUACGGCCAGGGCUACACACGUACUACAAUGGUCGGUACAAAGGGUUGCGAAGCCGCGAGGUGGAGCCAAUCCCAGAAAGCCGAUCCCAGUCCGGAUUGGAGU
rnacentral:rRNA from 1 species